UACCAGCACCCCGAGUGGUCUGGACGAUUAUUGGGCCUAAAGCAUCCGUAGCCGGUUCUACAAGUCUUCCGUUAAAUCCACCUGCUUAACAGAUGGGCUGCGGAAGAUACUAUAGAGCUAGGAGGCGGGAGAGGCAAGCGGUACUCGAUGGGUAGGGGUAAAAUCCGUUGAUCCAUUGAAGACCACCAGUGGCGAAGGCGGCUUGUCAGAACGCGCUCGACGGUGAGGGAUGAAAGCUGGGGGAGCAAACCGG
rnacentral:rRNA from 1 species